GACGAACGCUGGCGGCGUGCCUAAUACAUGCAAGUCGAACGAAGUGGGGACGGGUGAGUAACACGUGGGUAACCUCCCAUCAGAGGGGAUAACACUUGGAAACAGGUGCUAAACCGAUACUGAUGGAUGGACCCGCGGUGCAUUAGCUAGUUGGUGAUGUAACGGCGCACCAAGGCCGCGAUGGAUAGCCGGCCUGGGAGGGUGAUGUGCCACCCUGGGACUGAGACAUGGCCCGGACGCCUAAGGUGGGCUGCAGUAGGUAAUGUUCGGCAAUGGACUAAAGUCUGACCGAGCACCGAAGCGUGAGUCAAGAAGGUUUUUGGUUCGUAAUACUCGUUUUUGAGAGAACCGGUAUCUAACCAGAAAGCCACGGAUAACUACGUGCCAGCAGCCGCGGUAAUUC
rnacentral:rRNA from 1 species